UUGAAAGGACGCCCUGAAACCAAGCUUACCAAAACAUUGUGUCAACUCCAGCACAACGGAGAGCCACAGAACCCUUAUCCCUGUGCUCAGGGUGCAUCCAUUCAGGGAUGAGCAAGCCUGCUUUAAACUUUGCCCCCUUCGCCUCCAGAGCCGCCUUUCUCCUGGCUCCCUAGAGACCCAGGCUGCUCCCCGGAUCCUGUGCAUUCCAGCUCCAGCCCUGUGAACCUGAAGUUAAUGAUUAAGCCCAGCGUCGGUGCCGUGGCUGGAGGCCGAGGCUUCCUUGGGGGGUGAGCCAGGUAGCUUAGUCUUGGAAACUGCCCGGGUUCUUGGCUCUGCUCCAACCAGGCACAGGCCAGAGACAGAUCCUGGACCCACACCCACAGGCCGUACCUUCUCAAAGUCGUCUGGAACCUCAACGCCGUGCAGUCUCUGACCCUUCUGCAGCAAACCUAAGGCACCGGGGGCCCACUGAGGGGUGUGUGGGGUGUGUGUGAAGAAAGGAAUCUUAGGACAGACACCGGUUCUGCUCCUAAUUAGCCAGGUGACCUUGGGGGCAGUCUCCUUACCCUUUUGGGGCUUCAAACUCCUCAUCCGUAACAAAAGAAGACUGUGACCAGACUGGGCCCUGUUCCAUGCCUUUGCACGAGCUGAGCUGUCACCCCGGCCUGGAAGGUAAAGAACUUAAAAUAGCUUCAGGAAGUCCCUGAAACUGACCAGAAUCACUGGCCUGAGUAAGCAAUAAAUAAAAGCUGAGAGUCCCUUUAAGACUGGAGGGAAAGAACCACGAGCAAGAUUCUCAGACAAGCCAGACUGCAGCAAAGAAGACUCUUAGAGCAGCCAAGCUGCAGAGACUCUGAGACCAGACCAGCUGCCUAGGGGAAGCAGAAGCCUGCCGACUGCCUGGAAGAGGUUCAGAACAGAAUCACUUGCGAAAGACUCUUCAGCCUGUUGAGCGGUCUGAAGGCUGUUCACUGCACUCCAGGUUCCCGGCUCUGUGAGCUGUCACCCAUACUGGGGUGGGCCUUGGUGAUGGAGUUGUCUCUUAAAAGUCAUUUCUGCUCCUGCGAGUAACCCUUCACACUUACUCUUGUAAGUAACCCCAUUAAAACUCAUGGUUUACCAAGUUGUAAUUUGGUGGUAUCAGAACCACCAUUGGGCCUGUUGUGGGCUCCUUGUCUGGGCUGCAUCUUCCCUAGGAAAGUUUUGUCACACAACAGCCUGGUAUUUGCAACUCUCCUGCCUCAACUUUCUCAGCGCUGGGGCUAUAGGCCUGCUCACCACACCCAACCAUAUAUCAUCAACUCUUCCUUCAUUUGUAGCCAUUUAUCAUCUUGCUCGCCUACUAAGUUUGGAAUUUCAGUCAUUGUGUUUUCACUCUAAAAUGUUCACUUUUCCCACAUUUGUGCUUUUUCGCUCUUCCAUUCUUGACUUAAUCUUUUAAAUGCACACAUUUCAUAAUCUGUUUCGGAAUCUUCUGUUACCUGCAGUCCUGUCAACACUGAUGCCCUGCUGACUCUUGGCAAGUGUCCAUCAGGAUGCUUGUUCCUGAAAAAGAGGCAGAGACAGACAGAAAGACAGGGACAGAGAGAGAGAGAGAGAGGCAGCGAAAGGGAGGGAGGGAGACAGGGAGACAGAGACAGAAAGACACGCAUUCACAGAAAGAACAUGUCCUACCCUGGAGCUACCUUCCAGUUCUGCCCAGUUAGUAAUUUUGGGGGGUUCCUCUUCAGCAGGGACUUUCAGUCUGUUUUACCUACUCUUGGGCCCUGGGGAGUUUAGGGGAAAUGGUCCAGUGGCUUUACUUCCCAGCCUGGCUAUUGUGAUUGAAACACCACACCUCCACGUUAGAAAUGUUUGCUCCGUGUCUAUUUUUCUGCUUGAGCCUGGGGCACCAAGGCUUCUUGUAUGUUUUCUAUGCUGGAGUGAGUUCCCAGUCCUACCCCUUGCAACCUGAGCCCUAUCUUAACUUCUCCUUGUCCUCAGAGUUUGUCUUCUGGGUCUCCACUGUGUAUUUAUAACUAUUUCUAGGGCUGGAGAGCUGACUCAGCAGGCAAGAGUAUGUGCUGAUCUUGAGGACUCGAGUUCAGCUCCUAGCACCCCUGUCUGUGAGCCCACAACUCCAGAUCCAGGGGGAAUCUGACUCCUUUGGCUUCCUUGGACACACGCACACAUACACAUAUACACACAUAUAUACUAACACAUACUAAUAUGCACUCACACACUCAGACACACAAACACACACACAACACAAUUAAAAAAAUAAUUUUUAAAGACUUAACUCCCACUACGUGUCCCUGAAUCUGAGAUGCACCUUCCUUCCUGUUUAAUAAUGUAUUCGGAAAAAAAAAAUCUUGUCUUGAGUUUCUUAAUCCAGAUUUUUAUAGCAGAAGUUAGUGCCUGUCAGUCCAUAUGCCUCAUUAACCCUCAGCCCCCAGACAUUUGCUCAUGUAUGAGUUUCUUUCAGGUCCAACAGUCUGAUAUUUCAUGAGUUCAAAAAUAAAAACAGCAGCUUCGCAUCAGAACUAGAAAUGCAGGAGCUGCUAAGCAAUGGCACACUUGGGAGGCAGAGGAGGUCAGAUUGCUGUGAGUUCAAGGCCAACCUGGUCUACAAAAAGAGUUCCAGGACAGCCAGGGCUGUUACACAGAGAAAUCCUGUCUUGGAAAGAAUAGAAAAGAAAAAGAAAAAAAUCCAAGCGGCGCCAUCCAAGCACACAGUUCUUCCUGUGCAAACACGGAAGGCACAGUGACAAUGGGCAUUCGUGAGCAUAGACACCGCGGGUGUAUUUUGGGGGCAGGAGCACAGGCUGUGCCUAGGAGAACCGAAUGACUUGUUCAAAGAGCUCUCCAUGUGAAAAUAUUGUGCCCCGUGAUUUCUCUCCAACAGUGCUAACAACCCAGCGUCACCCCCUCCACCCCCGGUAGUCUUCCUCGUGCUUUAGGCAUGCUUUAGGCGUGCCCUAGGCCACUGGAGAGAGACUGAAAUGCGAUCCCCAGAACACUCAAAUCCGUGCCUAAGAGACUAAAGACUAAAGUGUUUUCUAAACUGAAGGCAGAGUUUUGUAGGAUUUUGCUCACACUGUCUUGAAACCGAUGGGUGUACUUGGCUUGCCCAUGAAAACCAUCUGUUAGGGGUUGGGGUUCAUUCUUUUGUGUGUGCGUGGCUGUCUUGAAACCGAUGGGUGUACUUGGCUUGCCCAUGAAAACCAUCUGUUAGGGGUUGGGGUUCAUUCUUUUGUGUGUGCGUGGCUGUCUUGAAACCGAUGGGUGUACUUGGCUUGCCCAUGAAAACCAUCUGUUAGGGGUUGGGGUUCAUUCUUUUGUGUGUGCGUGGGUGUGUGUGUGUGUCCAAGACGGGGUUCUCUGUGUAGCCUUGGCUGUCCUGGACUCACUUUGUAGACCAGGCUGGCCUCAAACUCACAGAGAUCUGCCUGCCUCUGCCUCCCUGAGUGCUGGGAUCACAGGUGUGAGCUACCAUCACUCUAGCGUCCAUUCUUUGAGGAGAUUUUUUGUUGUUGUUGUGUAUGGGCCUAGAGAUUUAAUCCAGGCCUCCCACAUGCCAGGCAAGCACCCUGCCACCAGAGAGUUCCAUUUCCAUCCCAUCUUAGUCCAAUCCUGCACACACGGACUGAGCUCUUGCUGGAUCCUGUGCCGUGCCAUACCCAGGGGUCAUGGAGGUCAUGGUGAUGAUCAGAGCUGAGGCCUUUGCCCUCAUAGUAACUGCAGGUUGGAUGUUACCAAACGUGGGUAGAAAGUGAAAGCUUCCCUGAGCUUUCAUUUUUCAUUGUGUUUCCAUUUACUCGCCAGGUUAGAAUCUGUGACGUGAACCUAAACAAAUGCCCUUCCUUCCGUCUGUCCCACUGCGACUUCUGUGGCCCUUUGCACAUCCAGUCUGGGCACUGGUUAGGGGCCUCAAGCACGUGUUCCACGUGAACCUCUGUUUCUGAGUAGGACUUCAGGCUGAGCCGGCAGGACCUCCUCCUUCCUUGAGUCCUGGCUCCUCUCCCAGGCCAUUUCCUUUUUCUUUUCACCCCCUUGUAUUCUCAUUCCUUGUAUAUCUCCCUUAUCUCCACCCCUGAAGUUCCAUGCUGAUCUGUUUUUUAGAGAUGCUCAAAAUUGACUUUUAUAUGAUUUGGUGCAGUCCACAUGAAAAAUUCAAGGCCUAACACUAUUCCGUGGCUUGUCCAGCCUUGUAUGUAGAUAGCCAUAGCCAAUCGAUGACCUGUGUCCCCUGCAUGGGUCUGCGUUGGGCCUGAUGAUCUACAUAUGCAGUCUAACUCGCUCCCAGAUGAUGUUGGCGCCAUGGUCCUUGGGCCAUACGCAGACCAGCUGUGGUCCCUUACAAGCCAAACUGUGGUAGGUGCAGAGACGAUGAGAGCUGGGAGUGAUGAGUAGAAAAGAUGAGCAACGUUUAAAAAGAAAGAUCCAGAUUCUCAAGGAUCCGAGUUCAAGAAGCUUCGGGAAAAUACAGGCGGGACACAGGUCAGUGACUUCCCUCCCUGGUGACUAAUGCUAAGAUGUGUUUUCCCUGCUGAGUCCUCAGCUGAAUUGAGCAGAGACAGCCUUCCUCACAAUGUGCCCUCCGAGGUCAGGGACGCCAUCUUCACACAUGCAAACAAACGCUGCUGCAGCAUUCACGGCCUUAACUGUAUCAGGUCAUUUAAGCACAUGGCAGUAGCCCAGGCCCUUCAAGCGCUCUUGCUCUUGAAUAGCCAUCCUAUAAAAGCUGUGAGAGCCCGAAUUCUUGGACUGGCGUUGGAACGGGCAGGACCUACACGAAUCUACUUGGAAAUCUGAGUCUGUUGAGUCUUCAUGCCUGAAAGCUGUAGUGGCCCAAGGAACACCUCUCUCACUGUGCUACUCUGACACCAUGAACCUGUUUGUUUGUUUUUUAUCUUAAAGCUUUUUUUUAAUGUUUUUACAAUAGUUUCAUCUGUAUUUGACUAGACUACCCUAGGGAUUUUUCUUUC